UACGUAGGUGGCAAGCGUUGUCCGGAAUUAUUGGGCGUAAAGCGCGCGCAGGCGGUCCUUUAAGUUUGAUGUGAAAGCCCUCGGCUCAACCGAGGAGGGUCAUUGGAAACUGGAGGACUUGAGUGCAGAAGAGGAAAGUGGAAUUCCAAGUGUAGCGGUGAAAUGCGUAGAGAUUUGGAGGAACACCAGUGGCGAAGGCGACUUUCUGGUCUGUAACUGACGCUGAGGCGCGAAAGCGUGGGGAGCAAACAGG
rnacentral:rRNA from 1 species